rnacentral:lncRNA from 1 species
CGGUUGAGCGUCCGAUUUCAGCCAGGUCACAAUCUCGCGGUCCGUGAGUUCGAGACCCGCGUCAGGCUCUGGGCUGAUGGCUCGGAGCCUGGAGCCUGCUUCCGAUUCUGUGUCUCCCUCUCUCUCUGCCCCUACCCCGUUCAUGCUCUGUCUCUCUCUAUCCCAAAAAUAAAUAAAAAACGUUGAAAAAAAAUUUUAAAAAGGAUGAAAUACUGUUUUUGCAAUCAAAUGCCUUCAUGUAAAACUCACAUAGAUAGCUUUCCCCACCAGAAUUAUCUCAAGAUAUAUUCUAAGACUCGCAAACCUUUUGAUACUAUUAUUAUUAUUUUAUUUUAAAUUUUUAUUUUAAUCCUGAUUAGUUAACAAAUAGUGUUCUAUUAGUUCCAGGUGUGCAAUGUGGUGAUUCAACACUUCCGUACAUUACGCGGUGUUCAUCAUGACAAGUACACUCCCUAGGUGAGGGGGUGGGUCAAAUAGGUGAUGGGGAUUAAGGAAAGCAAUUACUUUUAGAGGGAUGCGAUUCUGAUUAUUUAAUGUAAAAAAAAAAUCAGUAUGAAAAAUGGAGAACGCUAGAAGAAGGAAGAGGAAAACAUAAUUUUUAAGUCCAAGGCUCCUCCCACCCUUUACUAAAGACUGUAUGUUGCCAAAUGGGGAGUCAUUUAAAAGUUAAUGUGGUAUUUUCCUUCACUUAAGAAGAUGAUGUGACAGGCCUGAUGGUAGUCCAACAUUAGAUUUUGUUUUUUUUUACCAGCAGCCGGAGUGAAUUUUCCCUGGCGCCCCGUGACUAAUGGGCGGAACUAUCCCCUGGGCGUGCAGAUUCCUUCCCUUCCCUCCACUUUGGAAGGCCUUUCCCUUGUAGCAGAGGAACUCUGAGGUCCCUCUGUCACUGCAGAAUACCCAGGAGGCAGCGGUGGAGAGGACAAGAACAGCCAGGAGCCCCGACCGGAAGGAGCCCACGAGCACGGCGUGCUGUGCCCAAGGCAGAGCCGGCCAAGCUGGUGAGUGCUGAAAAGCCGCAUGCGCAGAGCGCCUGGCCUGGAAGACGGGCCUAGAAGCUUGUCCAGAUUCGGCAGGAAAGAGCAUUCAGAUCAGUGCUGCCUGCCCUGAGUGACAGGGGAGGGUGGCAUGUGGGUCAUGUAUUUUCUACCCCUGGAACUUGGCAGGAACACCUAAUACUUGUUGCAUGCUUAUUUUUUUUUUUACCACACACCACGCUGAAUUCUUUACGCGGCUUGUAUCGUUUAACGCUCUUAACCCUAU